GUAAUGGUGGUUCAGUAGUAGAAUUCUCACCUUCUGUGUGGGAGACCCGGGUUCGAUUUCUGGCCAGUGCA
rnacentral:tRNA from 1 species